AUUGAACGCUGGCGGCAUGCUUUACACAUGCAAGUCGAACGGUAACAGGCCGCAAGGUGCUGACGAGUGGCGAACGGGUGAGUAAUGCAUCGGAACGUGCCUAGUCGUGGGGGAUAACGCAGCGAAAGUUGCGCUAAUACCGCAUACGAUCUAUGGAUGAAAGCGGGGGACCGUAAGGCCUCGCGCGAUUGGAGCGGCCGAUGUCAGAUUAGGUAGUUGGUGGGGUAAAGGCUCACCAAGCCGACGAUCUGUAGCUGGUCUGAGAGGACGACCAGCCACACUGGGACUGAGACACGGCCCAGACUCCUACGGGAGGCAGCAGUGGGGAAUUUUGGACAAUGGGCGCAAGCCUGAUCCAGCAGUGCCGCGUGCAGGAAGAAGGCCUUCGGGUUGUAAACUGCUUUUGUACGGAACGAAACGGUCCUGGUUAAUACCCGGGGCUAAUGACGGUACCAGCAUAAGAAGCACCGGCUAACUACGUGCCAGCAGCCGCGGUAAUAC
rnacentral:rRNA from 1 species